UACGUAGGGUGCAAGCGUUGUCCGGAAUUAUUGGGCGUAAAGAGCUCGUAGGCGGUCUGUCGCGUCUGCUGUGAAAACCUAGGGCUUAACUCUGGGCGUGCAGUGGGGUACGGGCAGACUAGAGUGCGGUAGGGGGAGACUGGAAUUCCUGGUGUAGCGGUGAAAUGCGCAGAUAUCAGGAGGAACACCGGUGGCGAAGGCGGGUCUCUGGGCCGUAACUGACGCUGAGGAGCGAAAGCAUGGGGGAGCGAACAGG
rnacentral:rRNA from 1 species